GGGGGCGUAGCUCAGCUGGGAGAGCACAUGCCUGGCAGGCAUGGGGUCAGGGGUUCAAGCCCCCUCGUCUCCACCA
rnacentral:tRNA from 3 species